rnacentral:rRNA from 1 species
GGGUUGUGAGGUUAAGCGACUAAGCGUACACGGUGGAUGCCCUGGCAGUCAGAGGCGAUGAAGGACGUGCUAAUCUGCGAUAAGCGUCGGUAAGGUGAUAUGAACCGUUAUAACCGGCGAUUUCCGAAUGGGGAAACCCAGUGUGAUUCGUCACACUAUCAUUAACUGAAUCCAUAGGUUAAUGAGGCGAACCGGGGGAACUGAAACAUCUAAGUACCCCGAGGAAAAGAAAUCAACCGAGAUUCCCCCAGUAGCGGCGAGCGAACGGGGAGGAGCCCAGAGCCUGAAUCAGUGUGUGUGUUAGUGGAAGCGUCUGGAAAGGCGCGCGAUACAGGGUGACAGCCCCGUACACAAAAAUGCACAUGCUGUGAGCUCGAUGAGUAGGGCGGGACACGUGGUAUCCUGUCUGAAUAUGGGGGGACCAUCCUCCAAGGCUAAAUACUCCUGACUGACCGAUAGUGAACCAGUACCGUGAGGGAAAGGCGAAAAGAACCCCGGCGAGGGGAGUGAAAAAGAACCUGAAACCGUGUACGUACAAGCAGUGGGAGCACGCUUAGGCGUGUGACUGCGUACCUUUUGUAUAAUGGGUCAGCGACUUAUAUUCUGUAGCAAGGUUAACCGAAUAGGGGAGCCGAAGGGAAACCGAGUCUUAACUGGGCGUUAAGUUGCAGGGUAUAGACCCGAAACCCGGUGAUCUAGCCAUGGGCAGGUUGAAGGUUGGGUAACACUAACUGGAGGACCGAACCGACUAAUGUUGAAAAAUUAGCGGAUGACUUGUGGCUGGGGGUGAAAGGCCAAUCAAACCGGGAGAUAGCUGGUUCUCCCCGAAAGCUAUUUAGGUAGCGCCUCGUGAAUUCAUCUCCGGGGGUAGAGCACUGUUUCGGCAAGGGGGUCAUCCCGACUUACCAACCCGAUGCAAACUGCGAAUACCGGAGAAUGUUAUCACGGGAGACACACGGCGGGUGCUAACGUCCGUCGUGAAGAGGGAAACAACCCAGACCGCCAGCUAAGGUCCCAAAGUCAUGGUUAAGUGGGAAACGAUGUGGGAAGGCCCAGACAGCCAGGAUGUUGGCUUAGAAGCAGCCAUCAUUUAAAGAAAGCGUAAUAGCUCACUGGUCGAGUCGGCCUGCGCGGAAGAUGUAACGGGGCUAAACCAUGCACCGAAGCUGCGGCAGCGACGCUUAUGCGUUGUUGGGUAG